GUGGGGAAUAUUGCACAAUGGGCGCAAGCCUGAUGCAGCAACGCCGCGUGAGUGAUGAAGGCCUUCGGGUUGUAAAGCUCUGUCUUUUGGGACGAUAAUGACGGUACCAAAGGAGGAAGCCACGGCUAACUACGUGCCAGCAGCCGCGGUAAUACGUAGGUGGCAAGCGUUGUCCGGAUUUACUGGGCGUAAAGGGUGCGUAGGUGGACGUUUAAGUCAGAUGUGAAACCCCUGGGCUCAACCCAGGGACUGCAUUUGAAACUGGAUGUCUGGAGUGCGGGAGAGGUAAGCGGAAUUCCUAGUGUAGCGGUGAAAUGCGUAGAGAUUAGGAAGAACACCAGUGGCGAAGGCGGCUUACUGGACCGUAACUGACACUGAGGCACGAAAGCGUGGGUAGCAAACAGGAUUAGAAACCCUAGUAGUCC
rnacentral:rRNA from 1 species